UACGGAGGGUGCGAGCGUUGCCCGGAAUCAUUGGGCGUAAAGGGCGCGUAGGUGGCCCGGUCAGUUCGUGGUGAAAGCGCGGGGCUCAACCCUGCGUCGGCCAUGAAUACUGCCGCGGCUGGAGCACUGUAGAGGCAGGCGGAAUUCCGGGUGUAGCGGUGGAAUGCGUAGAGAUCCGGAAGAACACCGGUGGCGAAGGCGGCCUGCUGGGCAGUGCUGCACUGAGGCGCGACAGCGUGG
rnacentral:rRNA from 1 species